UACAGAGGUCCCAAGCGUUGUUCGGAUUCAUUGGGCGUAAAGGGUGUGUAGGUGGCGCCGUAAGUCGGGUGUGAAAUUUCGAGGCUUAACUUCGAAACUGCAUUCGAUACUGCCGUGCUUGAGGACUGGAGAGGAGACUGGAAUUUACGGUGUAGCGGUGAAAUGCGUAGAUAUCGUAAGGAAGACCAGUGGCGAAGGCGGGUCUCUGGGCAGUAACUGACGCUGAGGAGCGAAAGCGUGGGGGAGCGAACAGG
rnacentral:rRNA from 1 species